rnacentral:lncRNA from 1 species
GUUGUCUGGAUGGGGAACAAUAAUUUGUUUUCUUGUAUACAUAAAUAUGUAUGUUAUGUUUAUUAUUUUGCCAAUUGGAUCGGAAUUAAAAUAAAUUUAGAUCCGAUUGGUUAAAUUUAUGUUUGCCUUAAGUGGGCUUAGCCCACAUAUAAUUGGACCAAAAGUAAAUUUCAUUCAUAAAUCAGGACUAAAAGGGCCGCAAACAAUUUGCACAACUUUUGGGCUCGACCCAACAACAAAUGGGCCUAUCGGAAUCAAUUUUGG